UGUUUGGUUCCACUUGCAAGUGUUCUAUGUUCUGAGGCUGCAGAGGGAACCCAAGCCUUGAAUCAACUCAUUAAUUCCUGAAUGAUAGCAUAGUCCUCACCUCUCAUCAAGGAACCUACUCUUUGGAACAUAGAGAGGUCAUCACAGAAAACGACAACCAAUAUAAGUGCAGAGUCCUAAGCCACUACCUAAAGACUAUAUAUGGACUGACCCUGGACUCUGACCUCAUAGGCCAAAUAGCAUAAAGAAGCAGUGCUAUAUGGAUUUCACAGGCGGUAGUCCUACACUUGAGAAUAUAAACUAUUUUUAAAAUAGAGCAAAUAGCAGGUGAAGAGGCCAUGGUUGGAGAGAGUGGCAGCUGUAGAAACAAAGAACGAUGUGAUCUCUCAA